GCGUUUGAAGUCAGUCACGUUGUCUGGGACUCAGCCUUGCUUUUGCCUGGUGUACUUCCCAGUUAACGGGUCAGCAUCGGUUUCGACCGUGAGAGAAAGACUUGGGGAAUGUGGCUCCUCGGAGUGUUAUAGCCCUUUGUUGUAUGUCUCGGUUGGGACCGAGGAUCGCAGCGCGCCUUACGGCCGGGGUUCGCGCCCUCGGUACGCGCUUAGGAUGCUGGCAUAAUGGCUUUAAGCGACCCGUCUUGAAACACGGACCAAGGAGUC
rnacentral:rRNA from 1 species